rnacentral:lncRNA from 1 species
ACAAGAAUUUCUAGCCGCGGUAGCAUCCCACACAACUUUGACAUGUUACAUCUAAAUAAAUAAAUAAUUUGUCCCAUAUACACAUCAAAGAACAGUUGUCGAUGGAGCCUAGAGCAACAGGGGUCGACUUGAUCUGGAGAAGCAAGUGGGCGACGAUCUGGAGCAGGUGGCCGGCGACGAGCUAGAGCAGCAGGGGUCGGCUCGAUCGAUCUAGAGAAGCAGCAUCUCGAGCUGGAAUUGGUGCAGAGAUGAGGGUGGCGGCAGCGCAGAGGAGAGAGAGAGGAGCGCGGCGGCCGUGGGAACGGGGUGGAUAAGCUCAGAGCGGCCGGAUCUCUGACCCGAAGCUGAAGGGGCGGCGGGAUCUGGGGGC